GGCGGCGGCGGCGGCGCCGGGUCGUUCUUCGACGGGGGAGGGGACGGCGGGGGAGCGAAUAUGAUAUUAAGAAAAGGGUUUCUUUUUUUUCGUAAUUUUCCGUGAGGACUAGACAAAGUCAAACUGAUGGGAGAAGGAGAAGAGAGACACGGAGACUCGGCGGCCUUCCGACGUCCGUUGACAUGAAAUGGGAGCUCGCCGGCGAUCAGUCUGGGAGGAUGAUCGGCAAACAGUGAGUAGGUGUCGGAUGUAGUUCGCUGGGACUGGGAGAUAUCGAGUGAGAGACGGUGCUCAGUACCUGUGCGACAGAAUGAGCAGGAAAAGCAGAGCAGCCACUUGGAGUGCGGCGGCGGCGGCUUGGGCGGCCCUUUGGGAGAGUGCAGCUCCGCUGCUUCUUUGUUCUCCGGCUCUUGCUUCUUAGUCUGCUGCUCCGGCACCACCUUCAGAGAUCCAAUUCCUCCUGGCAAUCUGCAGAGGACGAGGACCCAAAUGCCACUUUGAUGAGCUUCCAUCCCUGAUGAAGCAGAAGUCUAGAGAGAGAGAGAGAG
rnacentral:lncRNA from 1 species